rnacentral:rRNA from 1 species
UACGUAGGGUGCGAGCGUUGUCCGGAUUUAUUGGGCGUAAAGAGCUCGUAGGCGGCUUGUCGCGUCGGAUGUGAAAGCCCGGGGCUUAACUCCGGGUCUGCAUUCGAUACGGGCAGGCUAGAGUGUGGUAGGGGAGAUCGGAAUUCCUGGUGUAGCGGUGAAAUGCGCAGAUAUCAGGAGGAACACCGGUGGCGAAGGCGGGUCUCUGGGCCGAUAUUGACGCUGAGGAGCGAAAGCGUGGGGAUCAAACAGG